GCGCAAGCCUGAUGCAGCAACGCCGCGUGAGGGACGAAGGCCUUCGGGUUGUAAACCUCUUUUAGCAGGGAAGAAGCGAAAGUGACGGUACCUGCAGAAAAAGCACCGGCUAACUACGUGCCAGCAGCCGCGGUAAUACGUAGGGUGCAAGCGUUGUCCGGAAUUAUUGGGCGUAAAGAGCUCGUAGGCGGUUUGUCGCGUCUGCUGUGAAAAUCCGAGGCUCAACCUCGGACCUGCAGUGGGUACGGGCAAACUAGAGUGCGGUAGGGGAGAUUGGAAUUCCUGGUGUAGCGGUGGAAUGCGCAGAUAUCAGGAGGAACACCAAUGGCGAAGGCAGAUCUCUGGGCCGUAACUGACGCUGAGGAGCGAAAGCGUGGGGAGCGAACAGGAUUAGAUACCCUGGUAGUCCACGCCGUAAACGGUGGGAACUAGAUGUGGGGUCCGUUCCACGGAUUCCGUGUCGCAGCUAACGCAUUAAGUUCCCCGCCUGGGGAGUACGGCCGCAAGGCUAAAACUCAAAGGAAUUGACGGGGGCCCGCACAAGCGGCGGAGCAUGCGGAUUAAUUCGAUGCAACGCGAAGAACCUUACCAAGGCUUGACAUAUAGAGGAAAAGCGUAGAAAUACGCUCCCCGCAAGGUCUCUAUACAGGUGGCGCAUGGUUGUCGUCAGCUCGUGUCGUGAGAUGUUGGGUUAAGUCCCGCAACGAGCGCAACCCUCGUCCUAUGUUGCCAGCA
rnacentral:rRNA from 1 species